rnacentral:rRNA from 1 species
AACGAACGCUGGCGGCAUGCCUAACACAUGCAAGUCGAACGAGACCUUCGGGUCUAGUGGCGCACGGGUGCGUAACGCGUGGGAACCUGCCCUUAGGUUCGGAAUAACUCCCCGAAAGGGGUGCUAAUACCGGAUAAUGUCUUCGGCCCAAAGAUUUAUCGCCUUUGGAUGGGCCCGCGUUGGAUUAGCUAGUUGGUAGGGUAAAAGCAUACCCAGGCGACGAUCCAUAGCUGGUCUGAGAGGAUGAUCAGCCACACUGGGACUGAGACACGGCCCAGACUCCUACGGGAGGCAGCAGUGGGGAAUAUUGGACAAUGGGCGAAAGCCUGAUCCAGCAAGGCCGCGUGAGUGAUGAAGGCCUUAGGGUUGUAAAGCUCUUUUACCCGGGAUGAUAAUGACAGUACCGGGAGAAUAAGCUCCGGCUAACUCCGUG